CCUACGGGAGGCAGCAGUGAGGAAUAUUGGUCAAUGGGCGAGAGCCUGAACCAGCCAAGUCGCGUGAAGGAUGAAUGCCCUGCGUAUCGUAAACUUCUUUUGUAUGGGAAUAAAGUUCAGUAUUAGUACCCGUUUGUAGGUACCAUAUGAAAAAGCAUCGGCUAACUCCGUGCCAGCCGCCGCGGUAAUACGGAGGAUCCGAGCGUUAUCCGGAUUUAUUGGGUUUAAAGGGUGCGUAGGCGGACAGUUAAGUCAGCGGUAAAAGCUGGGGGCUCAACCUAGACUAGCCGUUGAAACUGGGGGGCUGGAGUGGAGGAGAGGUACGCGGAAUGCGCGGUGUAGCGGUGAAAUGCUUAGAUAUCGCGAAGAACCCCGAUUGCGAAGGCAGCGUACCGG
rnacentral:rRNA from 1 species